rnacentral:rRNA from 1 species
GAUGAACGCUGGCGGCGUGCCUAAUACAUGCAAGUCGAGCGAACAGACCAGUACCUUGCUCCGCUGACGUUAGCACCGGACGGGUGAUUAACACGUGGAUAACCUACCUAUAAGACUGGGAUAACUUCGGGAAACCGGAGCUAAUACGGGAUGAUAUAUUGAACAACAUUGUUCCAUCGUUAAAUUCGGUUUUUCUGUCGCUUAUAGAUGGCUCCGCGCCGAAUUAGCUAGUUGGUAAGGUAACUGCUUACCAAGGCAGCGACUGUUAGACGACCUGAGAGGGUGAUAGGACACACUGGAAGUGAGACACGGCCCACACUCUUAGGGUAGGCAGCAGUAGGGACUCCUACGCAAUGGGCGAAAGGUUGACGGAGCAAAGUCGCGGGAGUGCUGAAGUACUUAGGCUCGGAAAACUAUGAUAGUAGGGAAGAACAAAUGUGUAAUUAACUAUGAAGGUCUUGACGGUACCUAAACAGAAAGCCACGGCUAACUACGUG